GACGAACCGAGCGAACGUUAUUCGGAAUCACUGGGCUUAAAGGGUGCGUAGGCGGGCUCGCGAGUCAGGGUGAAAUCCCACGGCCCAACCGUGGAAGUGCCUCUGAUACCGCGGGCCUCGAGGGAGUGAGGGGCGUGCGGGAACUUCCGGUGGAGCGGUGAAAUGACGUAGAUAUCGGAAGGAACACCGGUGGCGAAAGCGGC
rnacentral:rRNA from 1 species